UCGGGAAUUUUGGGCAAUGGGCGAAAGCCUGACCCAGCAACGCCGCGUGAAGGAUGAAGUAUUUCGGUAUGUAAACUUCGUAAGAAUAGGAAGAAUAAAUGACGGUACUAUUUGUAAGGUCCGGCUAACUACGUGCCAGCAGCCGCGGUAAUACGUAGGGACCAAGCGUUGUUCGGAUUUACUGGGCGUAAAGGGCGCGUAGGCGGUUUGUCAAGUCAGUUGUGAAAUCUCCGAGCUUAACUCGGAACGGUCAACUGAUACUGUCAAACUAGAGUACAGAAGGGGCAAUCGGAAUUCUUGGUGUAGCGGUGAAAUGCGUAGAUAUCAAGAGGAACACCUGAGGCGAAGGCGGGUUGCUGGGCUGAUACUGACGCUGAAGCGCGAAAGCUAGGGUAGCAAACGGGAUUAGAUACCCGAGUAGUCCCUGAGCGGGCUGGCAAGGCGCAU
rnacentral:rRNA from 1 species